UUGUAUUCAAUUUCGAAUUAUCAAAAUACUAAAUAGUUUAGUAGUUUAUACUUUACCUCUUUAAUUUUUUUCUAUUUUCUAAUAUUAAAAUUCAUUGUGGAAUUUUAGCUUAAUAAUAUAAAUUAAAAAUGAGUACUAAUUGAGUAGAUCAAUACCAUUAUUCAUCUAUCAAUGAUUUAAGCACUAAUACUUACGAACAAUAUUACUUACCUAUGUAGUUAUGUACCUAUAUUAAUUAAUAAUCGAACAAUAUUUAAUUAUAUUAGAAAAGACAACAAAGAAAUAAAAUUUUCGUUUUUUUGAGUUGCAGUUGCUGAAAGAAUAAUUUUAUUUAAAUAAUUCAAUCUAAUGAAAGUACGUGUUCUCACUAAACAUUCGACUACUUUUACUGGUAGAUUCAAAUUUUCUUUUUGUAGUUCAUUCAUCAAUAAAUUGUUGACCUUUGUCAUAACUUUUGGCUCUUUAUUUAUGCAAUCUUUGCCAUGAAAAUUAUUGAAGAGAUGUUCUAAGAUCAUUGAACAUUUUAACAAGAUUGGCGAUGGAGUUGUUAAAUUUCCUCUUGAAAUAUGUUGUAUCCAUGAAGAGCCACAAACUUCUUUAUUGCAUAGCCAUGGAUAUUCGGUAGCAUAACGACUUGCAACAUACCCUGUUACAUAUUCAAUGCAGUCUUUUUCUAAUUCAGUUAACUCAUUAACUGGAUUCACCUAAAAUAAUUAAGUUUAACAUUACUGGUUGUUUGGUCAAUUGUACAUUUGGACACAUAGGUAUAUCAAAAGUUUCAGUUGAUCCAAAAUGUGACUCUAUUGUAGCAAUUUCUUCAUUGAAAUACAUUUGUCUGCAUUCAUCCAUGUUAUUAUUACUAUUAAUUUCAGCCUCAUUAAUAGUAACUGCUGACAAACAAUCAACUAAACAUUCCUCAUCAGAGCAUUCGGUAUUUCGAUUUUCUGUGAUUA